UUCCGAAAGGAUUAAUAGAGAAACCGGUGAAAGUCCGGUACGAUCCCGUCACUGUGAAAGGGAGUCUCAGAACAAAGUUAUGUCACUGGGUGAAAGCCUGGGAAGGCGCUUUGAGAUGUUGAACUUAAGUCAGGAGAACUGCUUGUGAUGGA
rnacentral:ncRNA from 1 species